UACGUAGGGGGCGAGCGUUGUCCGGAUUUAUUGGGCGUAAAGAGCUCGUAGGCGGUUCGAUAAGUCGGACGUGAAAUCUCCACGCUCAACGUGGAGGGGCCGUUCGAUACUGUCGUGACUCGAGUCCGGUAGGGGAGUGUGGAAUUCCCGGUGUAGUGGUGGAAUGCGUAGAGAUCGGGAGGAACACCAGUGGCGAAAGCGGCUCUCUGGUCCAAAACUGACGCUGAGGGGCGAAAGCGUGGGGAGCGAACGGG
rnacentral:rRNA from 1 species